UCCCUGGUUGUCUAGUGGUAAGGAUUCUGUGCACUCACCGCUGUGGCCCAGCUUCCAUUCCCGGUCAGGGAA
rnacentral:tRNA from 1 species